AGUACAAUACCUACUAGCACAAUGGUUUUCAAUUAUAAAAUAUACAGGAUUCAUCUAUAGGUCAACUCUGGUUUGGGUCAGUUGUCCAAGCCUUCGCACUUAACACAGUAAUUGGGAACAACUUGCA